GUGCUUUGGCAACAAAUAUACUGAAAUUGGAAUGAUACAGAGAUUAGCAUGUCUCCCACAUAAGGAUGAUGUGCAAAUUCAUGAGACUUUCCAUAUUUUU
rnacentral:snRNA from 1 species